GUCCGUGUGGUGGAAUGGCAGACACACCCGGCUAAGAACCGGUACACUGAGGGUUCGACUCCCUCCACGGAUA
rnacentral:tRNA from 2 species